AGCAGUCGCCGCGGUAAUACGUAGGGUGCGAGCGUUGUCCGGAAUUACUGGGCGUAAAGGGCUCGUAGGUGGUUUGUCGCGUCGUCUGUGAAAUUCCGGGGCUUAACUCCGGGCGUGCAGGCGAUACGGGCAUAACUUGAGUACUGUAGGGGUAACUGGAAUUCCUGGUGUAGCGGUGAAAUGCGCAGAUAUCAGGAGGAACACCGAUGGCGAAGGCAGGUUACUGGGCAGUUACUGACGCUGAGGAGCGAAAGCAUGGGUAGCGAACAGGAUUAGAUACCCGGGUAGUCCCUGUCUCUUAUA
rnacentral:rRNA from 1 species